GCCUUUAUAGCAAAAUGGUUAAUGCAAGGGGUCUAAGACCCCUUAAUAUAAGUUCAAUUCUUAUUUAAGGUU
rnacentral:tRNA from 1 species